GCGGGGCGGGGUGCUUACACAUGCAGUCGAACGAUGAACCGCUUUCGGGCGGGGAUUAGUGGCGAACGGGUGAGUAACACGUGGGCAAUCUGCCCUGCACUCUGGGACAAGCCCUGGAAACGGGGUCUAAUACCGGAUAUGACCGUCUGCCGCAUGGUGGAUGGUGUAAAGCUCCGGCGGUGCAGGAUGAGCCCGCGGCCUAUCAGCUUGUUGGUGAGGUAGUGGCUCACCAAGGCGACGACGGGUAGCCGGCCUGAGAGGGCGACCGGCCACACUGGGACUGAGACACGGCCCAGACUCCUACGGGAGGCAGCAGUGGGGAAUAUUGCACAAUGGGCGAAAGCCUGAUGCAGCGACGCCGCGUGAGGGAUGACGGCCUUCGGGUUGUAAACCUCUUUCAGCAGGGAAGAAGCGAAAGUGACGGUACCUGCAGAAGAAGCGCCGGCUAACUACGUGCCAGCAGCCGCGGUAAUACGUAGGGCGCAAGCGUUGUCCGGAAUUAUUGGGCGUAAAGAGCUCGUAGGCGGCUUGUCACGUCGGUUGUGAAAGCCCGGGGCUUAACCCCGGGUCUGCAUUCUAUACGGGCAGGCUAGAGUUCCG
rnacentral:rRNA from 2 species